ensembl:snRNA U1 U1 spliceosomal RNA
AUACUUACUUUGGGGUGGAGAUGCCAUGAUCAUGUAGGUGAUUUUCCCAGGACGAGGCUCAACUCUCACACUCUGAUUGUGCUCACUCCUGUGAUUUUCCCAAUGUGGGAAACUUAACUGCAUAAUUUGUGGUAGUGGGGGACUGUGAUUCACCCUCCCCUG